rnacentral:rRNA from 1 species
GGAAUCUUCCACAAUGGACGAAAGUCUGAUGGAGCAACGCCGCGUGAGUGAUGAAGGCUUUAGGGUCGUAAAACUCUGUUGUUGGAGAAGAACGUGUGUGAGAGUAACUGCUCAUGCAGUGACGGUAUCCAACCAGAAAGCCACGGCUAACUACGUGCCAGCAGCCGCGGUAAUACGUAGGUGGCAAGCGUUAUCCGGAUUUAUUGGGCGUAAAGCGAGCGCAGGCGGUCUUUUAAGUCUAAUGUGAAAGCCUUCGGCUUAACCGAAGAAGUGCAUUGGAAACUGGAAGACUUGAGUGCAGAAGAGGACAGUGGAACUCCAUGUGUAGCGGUGAAAUGCGUAGAUAUAUGGAAGAACACCAGUGGCGAAGGCGGCUGUCUGGUCUGUAACUGACGCUGAGGCUCGAAAGCAUGGGUAGCGAACA